GACUAGAAGCCUGGCACGCCUGUCUGCUGUGGCCCGCAGCGGUGUCACACUCAAACAGAGCAGGAUUUCUAGGUGGCUACUGCCUAAGCCACAUCCCCAAGGUAGACCCGAGGCUCGAAAGGUUGGGGCAGGGAAACGACUAAUGUAACAAGAAGCUGUGCCCGCAACCACUUGGGGCCUGUAGCAAGCGGGUUGGUGAUCAACUGUGACUCCGAAGUGGGAGGGUUGAAACCACUCUCACAGCGAGCCUCGGGGUGAGCGGUUGAUUUCUCGAAGGUUUUGUGGUUUUGGUGUUCUGAUGGCCAGAGCCUGUUAAAGGACACUCAAGUCCAAUUGCACAGGAUCCGUGGGCACUCAAGCAGAUCCGUAGUCUGUGGAGAGCAAGUUCAUGAGGGCGGAAAGGGGAGAGCGGGCUGUCAUCACGGAGACAGCCCCCGGCGGACUCUUAAGAUAAAAGAGACAAUAGCACCACUGGACGAUCUAAAAUGCGUGCCUCAGAGUCUGCCUCUGAGAACACCGAGGGAAUUGACACGGCACGGAGCGUCGUGCCCCGGGCUCCGCAUCUCCCAGGUAGGGCCACUCAGAGCGAUGCGGCCGAUUGGUACCUUUCACCCGAGCAACCAAAAGGCGCGAUCUCUUUUCCCCUUUAUACCUUUCUCUCUCUUCCCAGUCAGUCCCCAGUGGGUCGGAGAUGGAGAUGGAAAUUCGGGAACUUGAGAGAAAGCGUGGCAAAAAAGACAGCGGUCACCGGCCCCCACGGUGGCCCAGAACGUUCAGGCCAGACCCUGCAAUCUUCGCUUCGCUAGCCUCUCCCGUGGAAGCUGAGAACAUUUGGCCCCAAGAUUAACUUCGGGGACUCAUUCCCCACACGGUUGGGAGCUUGCAUCCUAAGUGGGCGGGGUCUCACGUAACUGUCCGAAUCUCUGUCUAAUCGUGCCCCAAACCCCACCCUAGCAGCAGACGACUCGAAGACCACGUCCUCCUUCCCGCUCGGCCCUAGCUGAGUUUUUCCGCGGCGAAGCAGGAAGUGCACUGCUCCCGCUUCACUUCCCAGCUCAGAAACCGGUCGGGAAUAUUCUAAGCACACGUCCCCCCAACUGUGUUCCCCAGGUGAAGUAAGGACUCCUCUUUAUUGCCUGCUCCAUGGCGCCUCAGGUUCUCUUGGGAAGGUGGUCUGAGAGCCAGGAAUAAAGCCUUGCUCACAUUUCUUUGGCGUCUUCCUUGAAAUUUAAAGACAAUUCAAAUAUGCCUUGGGUUUUUAUAAAGGUGAUGGCUGCUGUAGCCUAGUACCAUUGUUAGCACCCACACCCUAGGGAAGACGGGGCUUCCUUGGAGAAAGGCAGUCCUCACCUGGCAGUCUUAGCAGCCUGUCCACCGUGAGCAGAGCACUUGCGCUCUCGCCGGAGAGCAAACUGGGUAGGGCUGCUUCCCAGGAUGCCCCGUGAGGCAUCCUUAGUCUUCUUCCCUGAUUUGGUAAUACCCAGCUGCAUGUUCUCAGUCUAUGAUCCUGUAAUAAUCUGUUCCUGUCCUGUGAGAGUGAUGAUGACUACACAGUGGGUCAAGCACACUGAGUUGUUUUGUUGAGUUUGUUCUGGUUUUUGGUUUGCUUUGGUUUUGUAGCAGAGGCAAUAGGUGCUUUCCACCCGGAAAACUCUGCUCCCAAGAUCCCCUAUCAGGAUUAACUGCAUGGUGCCAGAUUGUUGGUAUGUGCUCUGUGAUCAUGGAAAUGAUCAAAGUUAAAUAGGACUUGCCACUCCUGACAGCACUCAUUACCUCCUGUAUGCACUUCAAGCAUAACAGAUUUCUUACCUGAAACCUAAUUUAGCUUCCAAAGCUUAAAAACAAGAGGGAGAAAUUAGGAAGCCUUCCGGGGUAUCAGCUGGGUUACUUGAAUGUUCUACUCUACCCAUUUGGUGGACUUGCCAACAACGUUGUCUUUGGUUUAUUCAUAGCAACACGGGGCCUUCUGUUCACUGCACCUUUCAAUCCUAGAUCACAGGGCUUUCCAGUCGUUACUACAUACUUACGAGUAAUAGAAUGUCCAGAUUAAUUCUAGUGUUUUCUUACUCCUGUGGAAACAGUAAAGACCAUCUCCAUAGACCUUAAAGGCUCAUCUGUCUGGGUCACGGGGCUUCUGGAGAGUAAUAUUCUCUCCACUUCUUCAAUAAUUCAAAUUGCACAUGAAAUCACAACAUUACUGGGCAUUUACAUCCCAAGGCUAUCUUAAUCCUUUUAGCAGAGAAAACCAGGCUGAAGAUGCACAUAGAUAAUUUUACAAGUAGCCAUAUGAUGCAAAAGUAAAUGUCUGUCUUUAGGGCAUUUGGGAAGUUAUCUUUGAAAUUAAUUUCUUCAUAAGCAUGGUAAUGUUUGCAAUGCUGUUUCCCGACCUCAUCUGACCCUCACCACUGCCCUGGAAGUUAAUGAAGUGGCUAUGCCUUAGUCCCCUUUUGCUGAAAAAAGAGCAGCCAGCUAAUCAGUGACUUAAGGUCACAUAACAAGGGUUCUUAGACCAGAUCAUUCUUCUAGCAGGAAACAAUAACAGGUCUUAUGCUUACAAAUAAUGAGAGACAAAUUGGAAUUUACAAGGAUUAAAUAAAGGAGUCAGUAGCGAUGGAUUAAGGAUCCUUGGGAAAGAAUGAAAUGUUCUUGUUAACUGGGUCAUGAUACUUUUGAUACCAGAAAUACAGCAACGAAAAAGAGAAAGUAUCAUUUAGAAUAUCUAGGCUUUGGCCUGUCAGUGGUGUCACAUCCUCUCACUCGCAGCACUCGGGAGACAGAAGCAGACAGAUCUGUGGGUUUGGAACUAAACUGGUCUACAUCUACAGAGUGAGAUUCAGAACAGCCAGGGCUACACAGGAACAUCGUGUCUC
ensembl:processed_transcript Gm37587 predicted gene, 37587